AGUGAACGCUGGCGGUAGGCCUAACACAUGCAAGUCGAACGGCAGCACAGUAAGAUCUUGCUCUUACGGGUGGCGAGUGGCGGACGGGUGAGGAAUACAUCGGAAUCUACUUUUUCGUGGGGGAUAACGUAGGGAAACUUACGCUAAUACCGCAUACGACCUACGGGUGAAAGCAGGGGAUCUUCGGACCUUGCGCGAUUGAAUGAGCCGAUGUCGGAUUAGCUAGUUGGCGGGGUAAAGGCCCACCAAGGCGACGAUCCGUAGCUGGUCUGAGAGGAUGAUCAGCCACACUGGAAGUGAGACACGGUCCAGACUACUACGGGAGGCAGCAGUGGGGAAUAUUGGACCAUGGGCGGAAGCCUGAUCCAGCAAUACCGCGUGGGUGAAGAAGGCCUUCGGGUUGUAAAGCCCUUUUGUUGGGAGAGAAGAGCAGCAGGUUAAUACCCCGCUGUUCUGACGGUACCCAAAGAAUAAGCACCGGCUAACUUCGUG
rnacentral:rRNA from 1 species